AUUGAACGCUGGCGGCAGGCCUAACACAUGCAAGUCGAACGGUAACAGGAAGAAGCUUGCUUCUUUGCUGACGAGUGGCGGACGGGUGAGUAAUGUCUGGGAAACUGCCUGAUGGAGGGGGAUAACUACUGGAAACGGUAGCUAAUACCGCAUAACGUCGCAAGACCAAAAAGGGGGACCUUCGGGCCUCUUGCCAUCGGAUGUGCCCAGAUGGGAUUAGCUAGUAGGUGGGGUAACGGCUCACCUAGGCGACGAUCCCUAGCUGGUCUGAGAGGAUGACCAGCCACACUGGAACUGAGACACGGUCCAGACUCCUACGGGAGGCAGCAGUGGGGAAUAUUGCACAAUGGGCGCAAGCCUGAUGCAGCCAUGCCGCGUGUAUGAAGAAGGCCUUCGGGUUGUAAAGUACUUUCAGCGGGGAGGAAGGGAGUAAAGUUAAUACCUUUGCUCAUUGACGUUACCCGCAGAAGAAGCGCCGGCUAACUCCGUG
rnacentral:rRNA from 1 species